GGUGCAUACCCUUGUUUGGCACUUAAUAAAAAAUUGAUGGAUAAUAUUGUAAGCAAAGUAGGCAUCAUGUAUAAGAGGCUGAAAAUUGAAAUAAUAAUUUUUCUAAUAACAUAGGGGCAUAAUGCAUUAUUUAGCAUAGUGUAAUAGUUGACGCGAACUAUUUUUAGCACGGACUAUUAGUUGGCAUGAUGCAUUAGUUGGUGCGGACAUUAUUAAGUACGAAUGCAUGGAUCAUUAUUUGGCAUAGAUCAUAAUUUGGCACGGACCAUUAUUUUUCACGGAACAUUACUUGGUACAAAAUAACUUAAUUGCCACAUACAAUUACAUUAUUUGGCUAUUAUUUUAGAAACAAGCAUAUCAUUUACAUGCAUCAUAAUAUUUACAUGUAUCACGUGAAGAUACUGCCAAACAUAAU
rnacentral:lncRNA from 1 species